GGGGUUGUGGCUCAGUGGUAGAGCACUUGCCUAACAUGCAUGAGGCACUGAGUUCGAUCCUUAGCAUCACAU
rnacentral:tRNA from 1 species